UACGUAGGGCGCAAGCGUUAUCCGGAAUUAUUGGGCGUAAAGAGCUCGUAGGCGGUUUGUCGCGUCUGCCGUGAAAGCCCGGAGCUCAACUCCGGGUCGGCCGUCGAUACUUCCGGGCUUGAGCACUGUAGAGGCAGAUGGAAUUCCGGGUGUAGCGGUGGAAUGCGUAGAGAUCCGGAAGAACACCGGUGGCGAAGGCGGUCUGCUGGGCAGUUGCUGACGCUGAUGCGCGACAGCGUGGGGAGCAAACAGG
rnacentral:rRNA from 1 species